AGAGUUUGAUCCUGGCUCAGAACGAACGCUGGCGGCAGGCCUAACACAUGCAAGUCGAGCGCCCGCAAGGGAGCGGCAGACGGGUGAGUAACGCGUGGGAACGUGCCCUUUGGUUCGGAAUAUUCCCGGGAAACUGGGAGCAAAACCGGAUAAGCCCUUCGGGGGAAAGUUUACGCCAAAGGAUCGGCCCGCGUUAGAUUAGGUAGUUGGUGGGGUAACGGCCUACCAAGCCUACGAUCUAUAGCUGAUCUGAGAGGAUGAUCAGCCACACUGGGACUGAGACACGGCCCAGACUCCUACGGGAGGCAGCAGUGGGGAAUCUUGGACAAUGGGCGCAAGCCUGAUCCAGCCAUGCCGCGUGGAUGACUGAAGGCCCUAGGGUUGUAAAGUCCUUUCGACGGGGACGAUAAUGACGGUACCCGUAGAAGAAGCCCCGGCUAACUUCGUGCCAGCAGCCGCGGUAAUACGAAGGGGGCUAGCGUUGUUAGGAUUUACUGGGCGUAAAGGGCGCGUAGGCGGAUUUUUAAGUCGGGGGUGAAAUCCCGGAGCUCAACUCCGGAACUGCCUUCGAUACUGAAAGUCUGGAGCACGGUAGAGGUGAGUGGAAUUCCGAGUGUAGCGGUGAAAUGCGUAGA
rnacentral:rRNA from 1 species